CCAGCAGCUCAAGUACAUGACAGUCCGCAGUGACUCUUCUGCCUGCUUAAGCUUGUAAUCAUCUCUGUUUUUACCAGCUUUAUUGAAGUCUUUUAGACUCAAGUUACCUGGAAAGCUUUUCAUUUGCUUGGAGGUAGCAGAGUCCUUGAAGGAUUUGGCCCUGGAAUCAUUCUUUGAAGCUUUGUCUUUAACUUCUUGCAUCUUCUGGGAACUUGGUUGAAGGAAUUCCAUGCUCAUAUAUCUCAAGUUCAUUUCUAAAUGCUAUUUUGCGUCUCAAGAGAAGAGAGCAGAUGCAUCCUACUGCAAAUUGUGAUUUGAUAAAUGCGAGAAUGGAAUUUGGAAAGGAUCACAAAUGGGAAGUUGUUUAUAUAGUUUGCAGGAGAGAAUAGAUGAAGAAGUAUAUAUAGGAAAGAAAGGUGCAAGGUCUUGUUCUGGAGUUACCUGCUCUG
rnacentral:misc_RNA from 1 species